rnacentral:rRNA from 1 species
GAUGAACGCUGGCGGCGUGCCUAAUACAUGCAAGUCGAGCGGACAGGCGCGGCUCUUGCGCGGCGCACGUGAGCGGCGGGCGGGUGAAAAACACGUGUAUAACCUACCUGUAUUUCGGGUAUAACUUGGAGAAUCGGGAGCUAAUAGGAUAGAAGAUAUUGAUGCACGGUGGGCGAUGGUGAGAUACGGUGUUUCGGGAUCGUCUAGAGGGAUCCGCGCCUUAUUAGCUGGUUGGGACGGUAACGGGUUACGAAGGGUACGAGGCGUUGGCGAACGGACAGGCUGAUCGGCCACCCUGGAAGUGAGACACGGUCCAGACUCCUAAGGGAGGCCGCAGUCGCGAAUCUUCCGCAAUGGGGGAAAACCUGGCGCAGCGACGCGGAGCGAGUGACGAAGGUCUUCGGAUCGUAAAAAUCUCUUACUAGGGAAGAACCACUUUGGCAGUAAAUGUGGCCGGAUUGACGGUAACUAGUAAGAAAGCACCGGCUAACUACGUG